GAUUGAUAUCAAGAGAGCAAACUAUUCUAAGCUGUCUUUGAGUACUCUCCUGAUUCCCUUCUCCACUCUGACAGGACUCUACAUUGUAAACAACAGGGUGGUCUUCUUUCUUCAAGAUCAUGAAAUGAUGACUCAACUUUUUUUUCUAAUAGACAUUUUUUUCUAAUACUUUAAUAAUAUUACACUAACACUGAAAUCUUUGAUCUUGGUUUAUUGUGGUAUGAAGUGUGGUUUCAAGUGUGUAUGUUUCCAGAUGGCCACCCAGUUUUGUCAACAUAAUUUUUAAAUAUAUAUAUCCUUAUGUACUAAUUUGAUAAUUGUUAUAUAAAUAUAUUUGGGUUUAUUUCUCAACUUUUCAUUCUUUUCCAUUGGUCAGUCUAUUCAUGUAACAGUAACAUAGUUUUUACUAUCAAAAUUUGUAUUUUAAUAUCUAGCAAUGCCAGUGACUCUUAUAUCUCUUAUUUUUUUAAAGAUUUUCUGGCUAUUCUUGCUUUUUAGGUGGUGCAUGUAAACUUUGAAUUGAAUUAUGUAGUUGCAGAUGGACAAAAACCUUUUGGUAUUUUCACUGGGUUCACACUGAACUUAAAUUGACUUAUGUAAGAUAUUGAGUCUUAAAUAAAUAGUAAUUUUACUUCUAGUUGUUUAAUUUCACUUCCGUAUCCAUCAUGAGAAUUUGAGCUAUUUUCAAAAAUAUUGUCUUGAAUCUUCCUUGUUAAGUAUAUUUACUGGAGUUAAAAUUUUUAUUGUAAUGAGAUCUUCUAUUUUAUCUUCCUUUUUAAUUAUAUCUUAUUUUGUUCUUUAAAUUAAUUUUGUACUUUAUUAUCUAUCUUACUACUUUUACUCACUGUGUGGGAUUUCAUCUUUCUACAAAGAUGAUAGGAUUGAUUGUGUAUUGGAAGGGUUGGGGAAUAAGAAAAAUUCUUGAGUAAAAUUAAUUUUCUUGUUAAAAGCAUUGGUAAAUAUCUCCAGUAGAAUGUUAAAUAGUUGUGAUGAAAAAGUGAUAUGUGUAUUUAUCCUGUUAAUAAAUAAUCUGCCA
rnacentral:lncRNA from 10 species